rnacentral:rRNA from 1 species
UACAGAGGUCCCAAGCGUUUGUUCGGAUUCAUUGGGCGUAAAGGGUGCGUAGGCGGCGCGGUAAGUCGGGUGUGAAAUCUCGGAGCUUAACUCCGAAACUGCAUUCGAUACUGCCGUGCUUGAGGACUGGAGAGGAGACUGGAAUUUACGGUGUAGCGGUGAAAUGCGUAGAUAUCGUAAGGAAGACCAGUGGCGAAGGCGGGUCUCUGGACAGUUCCUGACACUGAGGCACGAAGGCCAGGGGAGCAAACGGG